UAACUGCGAUAAGCAAUGCGAAUUGCAGAAUCCGCGAGUCAUCAGAUUUUCGAACGCAAUCGGCGCUGUGGGUCAAACACCUUCAGCAAGUUUGCUUCAGUCUUAUUGAUUAUUACACACCAAAAUGUGAUUGAACUUCUGUUCUCUCAUUGAACGUGCAUACGACAUAUUUCAAUCCAACGAAGCAGUCACAGUCUCUGACGGUGAUUUCGAUGGCUCUUGAACUAUGGCCAGUAUAGAGACGCCAGUCUUUAACAAUAAUCUUAAGCUGAAGUCAAGCUGGAUUACCCGCUGAACUUAA
rnacentral:misc_RNA from 1 species